rnacentral:rRNA from 1 species
AACGAACGCUGGCGGCAGGCCUAACACAUGCAAGUCGAGCGAACCCUUCGGGGUUAGCGGCGGACGGGUGAGUAACGCGUGGGAACGUGCCCUUUGCUACGGAAUAGCCCCGGGAAACUGGGAGUAAUACCGUAUGUGCCCUUCGGGGGAAAGAUUUAUCGGCAAAGGAUCGGCCCGCGUUGGAUUAGGUAGUUGGUGGGGUAAUGGCCUACCAAGCCGACGAUCCAUAGCUGGUUUGAGAGGAUGAUCAGCCACACUGGGACUGAGACACGGCCCAGACUCCUACGGGAGGCAGCAGUGGGGAAUCUUAGACAAUGGGCGCAAGCCUGAUCUAGCCAUGCCGCGUGAUCGAUGAAGGCCUUAGGGUUGUAAAGUCCUUUCAGAUGGGAAGAUAAUGACGGUACCAUCAGAAGAAGCCCCGGCUAACUCCGUG